rnacentral:rRNA from 1 species
GCGCGAAAACUUUACAAUGCUGGCAACAGCGAUAAGGGAACCUCGAGUGCCAGGUUACAAAUCUGGCUGUCAAGAUGCCUAAAAAGCACUUCAUAGCAAGGGCCGGGCAGAACCGUGCCAGCCCCCCCCGUAACACCGGCGGGCCGGGUGGUUAACCGUAUUUUUUGGGCUAAAGGGUCUGUAGCCGGCCGGAUAAGUCUCUUGAGAAAUCUGGCAGCUUAACUGUCAGGCUUUCAGGAGAUACUGUCUGGCUCGAGGCCGGGAGAGGUGAGAGGUACUUCAGGGGUAGGGGUGAAAUCUUGUAAUCCUUGAAGGACCACCAGUGGCGAAGGCGUCUCACCAGAACGGACCUGACGGCAAGGGACGAAAGCUAGGGGCACGAACCG